AUGCUAUGUCACAAGUUUAUAAUGAAGACGUGAUUCAAUUUGCUGUGUACCUCCAAUACAGUAUAGAUUAAAAUAAUUUGCAAUUUAGGUGGCUAUCGUCAAACAAUAUUGAAAAAGAUGAAACACCUACAGAAGUAUAAGAUGUGGGAACACAAGGAAUAUGUUAGAUGAACAUUUAGCAAAUCAAUCCUUUCACAUCUAACACCAUAUAUAGUGAAUUGUACAGUUUUUAAAAUUAAUUAAUAAUUGUUAAAAAUUUUAAAGAUUAUGGAAAUAGCCAUAUGACACAUAUACAAUACUUUU